rnacentral:rRNA from 1 species
UACGGGGGGGGUAAGCGUUGUUCGGAAUUACUGGGCGUAAAGGGCUCGUAGGCGGCCAACUAAGUCGGACGUGAAAUCCCUCAGCUUAACUGGGGAACUGCGUCCGAUACUGGAUGGCUUGGAUUUGGGAGAGGGAUGCGGAAUUCCAGGUGUAGCGGUGAAAUGCGUAGAUAUCCGGAGGAACACCAGUGGCGAAGGCGACACGCUGGGCCGUACCUGACGCUAAAGCGCGACAGCAUGGGGAGCAAACGGG